UUGUGCCACUGCACUCCAGCCUGGGCAACAGAGUGAGGCCCUGUCUCAAAUAAAUAAAUAAAGUAGAUGGUCUGUCCAAGAGAAAAGAACACGCAGAGGAGAGCUAAGGACAGGACUCUAGGGAACACAAGAUGAAAGGGGGCCAGAGUACAGGACCUGGCAGGGAAGACUGAGAAAGAAUACUCAGAGAAGCAGGGGCAGGAGAAAACAGCAACAGUCAAGGCAGGAAAGGUGAGAGUUGCAAGGAAGGGUGGGCAACAGUGUCAAAUGCCAGGGAAGUUAAGUAGGAUUAACAUUAAAUAGACACCAGUGGAUUUGACAACGGAGACCUGAGGGAGACUAGAUGAAACGAUGAAGGUGGAGAUGAGGAAGCAGAAGCAGUGACAAUAGAACAUUCUUCACAGAAGCCUGGCCCUGAAAGAAGGGGGAGCUCUGAAAGGGAAAAGAGAUGAAAUGGGAGACAUUGUUUAGAAGGCAUAGACAUGGGUGAAGGCAGAAGAGAAAGUCUACCUGGUAAAGCAAGAUAAUGGAGAAGGAAAGCAGAAAUGGGGCCAAGAACUGGCAUGGAACAGCUCAUCUUAGGAGGGAAAAGGCCACGAUCUCUUCCUCCUUUGAGAUGAGAAAACCGAGACACGGAGCAGCUCAGUACCUAACCCAAGACCACACAGGUAAUAAGGCCUCAAGGGUGGAUUUUAUCCAGACAGCCUGGUUUCAGAGGCUUCAGUCCUUAGUUACUGCCUCUAUUUUCUCUAGAAUUUUCUUAGAAAGAUUGAAAAGGAAUAAAUCCCUGUUCUUCCUAGUCUAGCUUCUACCUUCUGUAAGUAUGCAUGCACUACUUGCUGUAGCUUUAGAGGCCUAUGGUUGGCAAGGUAAAGGCCUGGAACGUCAUUCCUCCCAAUCACUGGGAUUGAGGAUGCACGUAGCUGAUGUGGAGGUGAGAGGGGAGCUCAAUGGAAUCAAGAAAUGGACAGACUAUGAUGGACCUCCAAAUAUGUACUGCAAUUAUUGAGUUAAAGAUGGAAGAGCUCUACUCUGGCUGUGCUAACUCACUGUGUGAGCAUGGGCUUCAGUUCCCUCAGCUGCUCAAAGUUGGGGUGGAGUAAAACAGUCUCUAAGGUUCCUUUCCUGUGCAAGAAAAGGCUUUUCCAAUAUAUGGUGGCAUGGUUCUAGUAACCCAGGGGCAGCCCAGCCACAUCCUUAUAAGCAUAGCGGAUGGGAAGAGGGAGGGUGAUGAUUUAUCGUAUUUAUUCUUAAAGGGAUACAGGGAGAAAGUCACUGGAAAGCCGUAACAUUGUGCACCAUUACUAUACUAGAGUUUGUGUUAGGGAUACAGAGCAGGUUCUACCUCGCAAGCGUGAAGCUUUUCAUUUAAAAAAAUCUACGUAGAGGCCUCUUCGCACAAUUCCACAAUACUUUAUUUGGGACAGUAUGAUGACAGACCCUCUGCUAAACAAAUGAGGAUAUGUUAAUGAAUUGAGGAUGCGUUAGUGACAGGUAUUAGGUUCAAUCACACAUAAUUUGCUUUGAGGGAGUGCUAUGGUUUGAAUGUGUCUCCCAAAAGUUCAUCUGUUGGAAACUGAAUCUGCAGUGCAACAGUGUUGGGAGGUGCAGCCUAAUAACAGGUGAUUGGGUUAUGAGGGAGGAGUCCUCAUGAAUGGAUUAAUGUCCUUAUGGCAGGAGUGGGUUGCUAUAAGGCGAGUCCAGCCCCUGGGUGUCUCUUGGUCUCAUGUGCUGGCUUCCACCUUCCACCCUUCUGCCAUGGGAUGACCCUCGCCAGAUGCCAGCCCCACAGUCUUGGAUUUCACAACCUCCCCAGACCAUGAGCUAAAUAAAUUUCUGUUCAUUAUAAAUUA